rnacentral:rRNA from 1 species
GUAGGGAAUAUUGCGCAAUGGACGAAAGUCUGACGCAGCGACGCCGCGUGAGUGAUGAAGGCCUUAGGGUCGUAAGGCUCUGUUGAAUGGGAAGAAAAAAAUGACGGUACCAUUCGAGGAAGGACCGGCUAACUUCGUGCCAGCAGCCGCGGUAAUACGAGGGGUCCUAGCGUUGUUCGGAAUCAUUGGGCGUAAAGGGUGUGUAGGUGGCCAUGUAAGUCAGGUGUGAAAGCCCCGGGCUCAACCCGGGAAGUGCACUUGAUACUGCGUGGCUUGAGUACCGAAGAGGGUAGUGGAAUUCCAGGUGUAGUGGUGAAAUACGUAGAUAUCUGGAGGAACACCGGUGGCGAAGGCGGCUACCUGGUCGAGUACUGACACUGAGACACGAAAGCAUGGGGAUCAAACAGGAUUAGAUACCCGAGUAGUCC